UACGGAGGGUGCGAGCGUUGUCCGGAAUCACUGGGCGUAAAGGGCGCGUAGGCGGCCGACUCAAGCGUGGGGUGAAAGUCCGGGGCUCAACUCCGGAUCGGCCUUGCGGACUGAGCGGCUCGAGCACUGUAGAGGCAGGUGGAAUUCCGGGUGUAGCGGUGGAAUGCGUAGAGAUCCGGAAGAACACCGGUGGCGAAGGCGGCCUGCUGGGCAGUGACUGGCAACAGUCUUAGAGCUGACGCUGAGGCGCGACAGCGUGGGGAGCAAACAGG
rnacentral:rRNA from 1 species